rnacentral:tRNA from 1 species
GCCUGGGUGGCUCAGUCGGUUGAGCGGCUGACUUUGGCUCAGGUCACGAUCUUGCAGUUCAUGGGUUCAAGCUCCACAUCAGGCU